UCUUCGUCAUAGAUUAUUACAAAAGAAUGACUAUUAUUUGUAUUCAAUAAAUUGGAAGAUAAGAGAGUAAUGUUACACCCUACAACAUACAAGUACACUAUUCCAAUAUCAAGAUCUACAAAAUGUUAAUUGUGGGUAUGAAUGAGUCACUUGCCUUGUAUUCUCUCAUUACACUUUUUUCCUGCAACUAAUGGGACAAGGACCUGAAUGUCACCUUCAACCUAUACAAAAAUGCUGGUCGUCUUGUGGAUGAUUUUGACAACUUGGGAUUCUCGACAUUAAUUUUUAUAUCGUUUUUAAAUUCUUGUGCACCCUCUAACGAUCCCCGUCGAGUUCUUUUGAUUGCAAGUACAUGAUCAUUGUGAAGAAUUCCUUUGAACUCACCUUGUCAUAACCUAGAACACUGGAUUGUAGCAGCUUCAUCUUUUCACUUAUUUUCUAUAC
rnacentral:lncRNA from 1 species